rnacentral:rRNA from 1 species
GAUGAACGCUGGCGGCGUGCCUAAUACAUGCAAGUCGAGCGAAUGGAUUAAGAGCUUGCUCUUAUGAAGUUAGCGGCGGACGGGUGAGUAACACGCGAGUAACCUGCCCAUAAGACUGGGAUAACUCCGGGAAACCGGGGCUAAUACCGGAUAACAUUUUGAACCGCAUGGUUCGAAAUUGAAAGGCGGCUUCGGCUGUCACUUAUGGAUGGACCCGCGUAGCAUUAGCUAGUUGGUGAGGUAACGGCUCACCAAGGCAACGAUGCGUAGCCGACAUGAGAGGGGGAUCGGCCACACUGGGACUGAGACACGGCCCAGACUCCUACGGGAGGCAGCAGUAGGGAAUCUUCCGCAAUGGACGAAAGUCUGACGGAGCAACGCCGCGUGAGUGAUGAAGGCUUUCGGGUCGUAAAACUCUGUUGUUAGGGAAGAACAAGUGCUAGUUGAAUAAGCUGGCACCUUGACGGUACCUAACCAGAAAGCCACGGCUAACUACGUGCCAGCCGCCGCAGUAA